ACGGCGGACGGGUGAGUAACGCGUAGGCAACCUGCCCUGUACAGGGGGAUAGCCACCCGAAAAGGUGAUUAAUACCCCAUAACGCAAGGGAUACACAUGUAUCACUUGUCAAAGAUUUAUCGGUAUAGGAUGGGCCUGCGUCUGAUUAGCUAGUUGGUAGGGUAACGGCUUACCAAGGCAACGAUCAGUAGCCGACUUGAGAGGGUGAUCGGCCACAUUGGAACUGAGACACGGUCCAA
rnacentral:rRNA from 1 species